AGUAACUGCGAGUGAAGUGGCAAAAGCUCAAAAUUGAAAUCCGGUACCUUUGGUGCCUGAGUUGUAAUUUGGAGAGACAAAUUUGGUUGACGGCGCCGGCCUAGGUUCCUUUGAACAGGACAACACAGAGGGUGAGAAUCCCGUGCCUGGCUGGAUGACCGUCGCGUUUCUAAAUUGUCUUCGACGAGUCGAGUUGUUUGGGAAUGCAGCUCAAAAUGGGUGGUAAAUGUCAUCUAAAGCUAAAUAUUGGCGAGAGACCGAUAGCGCACAAGUAGAGUGAUCGAAAGAUGAAAAGCACUUUGAAAAGAGAGUCAAAAAGUACGUGAAAUUGCUGAAAGGGAAGCGCUUGAGACCAGACUCGAACCGUGGUGAUCAGCCGUGCUUCUGUUCGGCUACACUUGCCGCGGUUUGGGCCAGCAUCGGUUCUGGCGGUCGGAUAAAAGGUGGAGGAAUGUAGCUUCCUUCGGGGAGUGUUAUCAGCCCCCACCACAAUGCGGCCAGCUGGGACCGAGGACCGCGCGGGCUCCCGCUAGGAUGCUGGCGUAAUGGUCUUAAGCGACCCGUCUUGAAACACGGACCAAGGAGUCUAACAUCUAUGCGAGUGUUCGGGUGGAAAACCCUUGCGCGAAAUGAAAGUGAACGGAGGUGGGAACCCGCGAGGGUGCACCAUCGACCGAUCCCGAAGUCUUCGGAAGGAUUUGAGUAGGAGCACAGAUGUUGGGACCCGAAAGAUGGUGAACUAUGCCUGAAUAGGGUGAAGCCAGAGGAAACUCUGGUGGAGGCUCGCAGCGGUUCUGA
rnacentral:rRNA from 1 species